rnacentral:rRNA from 1 species
AGUGAACGCUGGCGGUAGGCCUAACACAUGCAAGUCGAACGGCAGCACAGGAGAGCUUGCUCUCUGGGUGGCGAGUGGCGGACGGGUGAGGAAUACAUCGGAAUCUACCUUUUCGUGGGGGAUAACGUAGGGAAACUUACGCUAAUACCGCAUACGACCUUCGGGUGAAAGCAGGGGACCUUCGGGCCUUGCGCGGAUAGAUGAGCCGAUGUAGGAUUAGCUAGUUGGCGGGGUAAAGGCCCACCAAGGCGACGAUCCGUAGCUGGUCUGAGAGGAUGAUCAGCCACACUGGAACUGAGACACGGUCCAGACUCCUACGGGAGGCAGCAGUGGGGAAUAUUGGACAAUGGGCGCAAGCCUGAUCCAGCCAUACCGCGUGGGUGAAGAAGGCCUUCGGGUUGUAAAGCCCUUUUGUUGGGUAAGAAAAGCAGCCAGUUAAUACCUGGUUGUUCUGACGGUACCCAAAGAAUAAGCACCGGCUAACUUCGUGCCAGCAGCCGCUGUAA